CUACGGGUCGCUGCAGUGAGGAAUAUUGCACAAUGGGGGGAACCCUGAUGCAGCAACGCUGCGUGGAGGAUGACGCAUUUCGGUGUGUAAACUCCUUUUAUAUGUCAAGAAAAUGACGGUAGCAUAUGAAUAAGCACCGGCUAACUCCGUGCCAGCAGCCGCGGUAAUACGGAGGGUGCAAGCGUUACUCGAAAUCACUGGGCGUAAAGGACGCGUAGGCGGGUUGGAAAGUCAGGUGUGAAAUCCUACAGCUUAACUGUAGAACUGCACUUGAAACUUCUAAUCUAGAGUAUGGGAGGGGGAGAUGGAAUUAGUGGUGUAGGGGUAAAAUCCGUAGAUAUCACUAGGAAUACCUAAAGCGAAGGCGAUCUCCUGGAACAUUACUGACGCUAAGGCGUGAAAGCGUGGGGAGCAAACAGGAUUAGAUACCCUAGUAGUC
rnacentral:rRNA from 1 species